rnacentral:rRNA from 1 species
UACGUAGGGGGCAAGCGUUGUCCGGAAUCAUUGGGCGUAAAGAGCGUGUAGGCGGCCCGGUAAGUCCGCUGUAAAAGUCAAAGGCUCAACCUUUGAAUGUCAGUGGAUACUGCCGGGCUAGAGUCCGGAAGAGGCGAGUGGAACUCCUGGUGUAGCGGUGGAAUGCGCAGAUAUCAGGAAGAACACCAACGGCGAAGGCAGCUCGCUGGGACGGUACUGACGCUGAGACGCGAAAGCGUGGGGGGAGCGAACAGG